AUGAGAAGAGAGAGGGGGAGGGGGUCCCGUUUUCAUCAGGCUUUUAUGGCUCCGCCUGGCCACACAGGGGGCUCCAGGGUUCUUGGAGCUCCGAGCUGCCUUCACCGCCCCUUCCCAGCCUGGGCAGGCGCCGUCUGGGCACCAGCCGUUCCUAUGGCGACAGCCGACCACGCGUCCGGCACAGCCGGGGCGCGGGCGGUUGCGCUCACCUGCGGGUGCAGGCUGGGAGGGCCAAGCGGUCUCCGCUCCAAGCCUGGGCGCUGGUGGAAACUCAGCGGGGCUGCAGGGAAAGGCGAAGCAUAUGCCCGCUGGCACCGGCUAACACUCUCGGCGGCUGAGACCGGCGACCUCGCUCCAGGAAUGCCACCAGACUCCCUGGCAGUGCUCGGGGGUCGCCGUCCAGCUCAACUGGUCGGGCCCCUUGCAGGGUGCGCCUCUCCCGCCCCCGCCAAUCCGGAGGACGUGGGCGGGCCUCGCACGCCACCCGCCAGGAGAAUGACCUUGGAAGGGAAGUUACCUGCCCUCUGGCCGGAGGUGCAACUGCAGCCAAAGAGGCGGAGGGGAGAUGGGUCGCCUUCCCCGGAGGCACGGACGCGUCCCCCGAUCUCGGCUACGCGGAGCCCCGGGCGUGACAGCAGGAGUCUCCGGGACCCGGGCUCAGCUCGGCCGCUCCCUCGCCGCAGCCGCCCACCUGUGACCACAGCCCGCCGCUGCCCGGGCGGCGCGCCCGCCUCUCCGCGCCGUCCUAGCCGCUCCUCCGCCCGCCCGGCUCGGUGCGCCAAGUCCACGCGCGCUUCCGGGUGCCCCGCCCCGGCGCCGGGGUUCCCCGCCUGCCCGCACGUGCGCCGCCAGCCGCCCGCGGAGCCCGCGGGCGAGGCUCCUCCUCCUGGCCCGCGGCCCUGGCGCUGGGAAGGGGAAAAUCGGCUCCCGAGAGCGCGUCUAGGAGGCAGGGGCAGGAGGCGGGUCCCGCACCUCCGGCCUGCCCCGCCCCGUCCCGCCCCAGAGGCUGCAGCCGGGCCCCGCCGGUGCCUGCGGGCGGCGAGUCGGUGGGACAGCCUCCGGAGCCCGGGAGUGCAGGCGAGGUGCGGAGACGGAAAUACGGGAAACCCGGGAACCCGGAGGAUUUCCGAACUACGUGAGACCGUGGAGCGGCCAGCCUUCAUUCAGACGCCGGCAACAGGCGGUGGGGGAGCUCUUCACCGCAAAAUGUUAUCCAAGUACCUCCCCCAGUUUCGCUGA
rnacentral:lncRNA from 1 species